UACGUAGGUGGCAAGCGUUGUCCGGAAUUAUUGGGCGUAAAGCGCGCGCAGGCGGUCCUUUAAGUCUGAUGUGAAAGCCCACGGCUCAACCGUGGAGGGUCAUUGGAAACUGGGGGACUUGAGUGCAGGAGAGAAGAGUGGAAUUCCACGUGUAGCGGUGAAAUGCGUAGAGAUGUGGAGGAACACCAGUGGCGAAGGCGACUCUUUGGCCUGUAACUGACGCUGAGUGAGCGAAAGCCAGGGGAGCAAACGGG
rnacentral:rRNA from 1 species